AUGAAGGGACAGGGAGCUGGGUAAAGGGAAGGGUGUUGACUGGAUCUAAAUAUGUCCGCUGCCCCGGUGUGGGAUUAACUGUCCUCUGGGGAUCAUAGUUGUUUACAAGGAUGGAUAAGAUGUGUAAACAGGGGAAAGAAAAACCAAACAAAAACCCUUCUGGUAUGUUCUGUUGGGUCUGACAAUCAACUUGGGACACCUAUGACUGAGUUUUCAGAAGCCCAGCUUGCCAAUAAAGGAGAUGCUGGUAGGGAGACCGGUUGUUGACGAUUGCGGCGGAACCUACCGGAAUACACAGGGACCAAAGAUGGUGGCCAAGUUCUCCAUUGGCAUCUGAUUUGAUUGGCUGUGAGACGCCACUCUGGAAAGGAAGUGGAUGAGUACCUGCGAAGCCCGACAGAAGCUGCCUGCGGUGGGCCUCCGGGACCAGGGGGAUGGGGAGCUCCCGGAAGAACAGCUUGAGCAGCGAGGCCACUGUGGGCACGUCCGAGUCCUGCUGCAUGUCCACCGCCUCCCCCCUGUCCCACUGCAGCCUCAGCUGUCUGGUCUGGACCACCGAGCCGGACAUGCGGAAUAUACCCUUAUGACGCACUCCUAAAGGAAGGAGAUAAAUAAAAUGUUCAUAUACACUCCUGACAAAUAAAAGUUCAAAAUAGAGUUCAAAAGAGUUCAAAAUACCUGUUUUGUCCAGGAACUCCACCAUGCGCCUCAACACAAGAGGCACUCCAUCGACCAGCUGUCCAUCUUCCCUUAGCGUUUCCACGGCGACACCAAAUACAGGCCUGGCUUCACACUGCGGCUGGUGCAGAGCAGCAGCGGACUGAGGGCAGAUCUUAGCCGUGCUUCUCCGGAUUCGUACAGAGCUUAAGUCGGUCUUCACACACGAAAAAAACACCAGGGGAAAUUCUCUGUCACUGAGACAAGGUCAAGUUGUUUG